GAUCAUGGCUCAGGAUGAACGCUGGCAGCGUGCUUAACACAUGCAAGUCGAACGGAACUACUUUAAUGAGAUUCUUCGGAAAGGAUUUGAUUUAGUUUAGUGGCGGACGGGUGAGUAACGCGUGGGUAACCUGCCUCAUACAGGGGGAUAACAGUUGGAAACGGCUGUUAAUACCGUAUAAGCGCACAGUACCGCAUGGUACAGUGUGAAAAACUCUGGUGGUAUGAGAUGGACCCCGCGUCUGAUUAG
rnacentral:rRNA from 1 species